CAGGCCUAACACAUGCAAGUCGAACGAGACCUUCGGGUCUAGUGGCGCACGGGUGCGUAACGCGUGGGAAUCUGCCCUUGGGUUCGGAAUAACUCGCCGAAAGGCGUGCUAAUACCGGAUGAUGACGUAAGUCCAAAGAUUUAUCGCCCAAGGAUGAGCCCGCGUAGGAUUAGCUAGUUGGUGAGGUAAGAGCUCACCAGGGCGACGAUCCUUAGCUGGUCUGAGAGGAUGAUCAGCCACACUGGGACUGAGACACGGCCCAGACUCCUACGGGAGGCAGCAGUGGGGAAUAUUGGACAAUGGGCGAAAGCCUGAUCCAGCAAUGCCGCGUGAGUGAUGAAGGCCUUAGGGUUGUAAAGCUAUUUUACCNCGGGAUGAUAAUGACAGUACCGGGAGAAUAAGCUCCGGCUAACUCCGUGCCAGCAGCCGCGGUAAU
rnacentral:rRNA from 1 species